rnacentral:precursor_RNA from 1 species
CUGCUGGCCACUGCACAAGAUUAGUUAGAACUAUACUCUUGUGCGUGUGACAGCGGCU